CCAGAAUGAGCCCUGGCUGUGACCCAGCUGUCUCUUUUUAAAUUUACUUAUUCUAUCUCAGAUCCCUGGAACUCUCUCCUCUUCCCUGAUUUUUCUUCUGAUUUUUCUGUGUCCUCUCUUCCCUGACCAUCUUUCUGUCCUUUUUCCUUCUCCCUCUCCUCUUCUCUCUUCUUUUGCUGUGUGCUCUUUUCUCUUCCUGGCUGAUACCUUUCACAUGCCAGGCCUCUCUGUCUGGAUAUCCUUCCUUGGAGGAUGGUAAAUAAGUAUCCAGGUGUAUAAAACUGUGAUCGUAUAUACCCUUGUACAACAUGUGCGUAUUCAUUGAUGUCCAAAUGGGCACAGACUCAUAGCAGAUGCAUUCAGAGAAUGCAGACACCCCGGAUAUACUGGGCCUCGUGUACAUUGAGUAUCACUACAGUAGACACCCAGGAUUAUUUAAGAUAUAUAUAUUCAAAACAAAACAUUCAAAGAGACACUCUGUCAUUAGUUUUAUUGUCAAAUAAUAACAAGAAAACAACAGCCACAAGUCUUUAUGGAGCAGCAAUGCCGUAUUAGGCAUCCCUUCCAGGCGUCCAUCUUCCUCCUCCCCCAUGCCUGUUAGGGAGAUGCUCAAGUCCGAUGCUGUGAUAAAAAAAACCUGCACAAACAAACACGUACACAUUUAUUUUGGCCCUAACCUCCCAGCUCACUGUUCCCAGAAUGCACAGAUAAAACUCAAGCAAAACACGAUAGAGACACGAUCAACAUCUGUUUUUAUGAAAGGUAGAGUUCUGUCUUACGGUAGGUAGGAUAAUGUCCCUCCAAAACUGCUAUUCCUGGAUGUAUCUGGCUGUGAGAUCUGUCACCCCACUGGUCAGCAGGGCUGGUUUGGGUGACCUGGCCGGCUAGGCUGAUGUCCCCUUCUCCCCUGACAGCUCCAUGUGCUUCCCUCCCAAAGCUGAGAACCACCACCCCUCAGAGGAGGACGUUUGUUCACUCAGGGGUAUAUGAGUAGCCGAGCUCCCCUGCCAGGACCUCCAAACAAGCUCUCUUGGAAAUGCUAUGUCCUAAUUCCUGUGAACUGGCUAUGUUACCUUACUUGGCAAAGAGGAAUUAAUUUACACAUGCGUUAUGUUUGAUAAUUGGGAGUCUCCUCCAGAGAUCCAGACGAGUUCACUGUAAUCACAUGGGUCCCGAAAAGUGGAAGGCAGAUGCAAAGAGGAGAAGCCAGACAGACAACAGCGGGCGAAGGACUUGGCCUGGCACUGCUGGCUUUGAAGGCUGAGGAAGGGAGCCAUGAGCUGAAACGUGAGUGGCCUCUAGAAGGUCCAAACACCAAGGCAAUCGCUCCUCCAUCAGAGUACUGCAGGGAACAAGUCCUGCAGACUCCCCGAGUUUGCCCAGCAGUGUCCUUUCUAGAUGUGCGAAAUGUAGGGCCACUACAUGAUAAGUGUGUGUUGUUUCGAGCCGUUAAGUUUGUGGGAAUUUGUUAUGGCAACGGUAGGAAGCUCACACUCACGCUGCCUCUCUCCUAGUCCCUGUCCCUCUGGGCCUGUCUGCACUCAUCUGUUUUCCUGCCUCCCGAUUUUUCCUGUUUUCUGGAUCUUACUGCCUUUCUUGGCCUUCUUCUUGGUCCUCUUUUGUCUCUUCUCCUUUGGGCUGCUUCUUUUCUUUAGCUCUAUCCCUACCUUCAAGGCUCUCAGCAAUGAAUUCUUUCUGGAUCUGGGCUGGCAUCUUGGGGAGAUGCCUGUGUCCCCGCAGGGGCCUUACAUGUGCCAUCAUCAAUCCCAGUCCCCUGCUGCAGCUAGACUCCUGAUGCCUAGAUGACACCUCCAACCCAUUAAACCAACCCUCCGGGGAGGGCCCUGGCACGGACAGGUUUGAAAGCCCUGCAGAGAGCCCCAGUGCUUAGCCACACACCGUCUAGUCUGACGGUGGCGACAGUGGACCAGCCCCUCGAGUUUCACUCCUGCAGGUCGAGCUGUGGUGCCUCGUGUUGCCUGCCUUACGUGCCAGGCCUGGCCUCCCUGUGCACCUCUGCACUCACCAUCCCUUCUGGUCUGGCCCCUCUUCCACCCAGGUGUUACAUGGGCCUCUCCAUCCUCCCAGUAGGUUUCAAUCCAAAGGUAACAUUCAGAGAGGAUUUUUGUGGUCAUUGUUUUUGUUUUGUAUUUGAACCUGGGGCCUUGUGGAUGAUGCACUUUACCAAUGAGCCACACCCCAACCCCAGAGAGGCCCUGGCUGCCACUUAGGCUUCAGGUAUCUUCCCUCAAAGGUGCUCACUCUCUCUUUCCUCAGACAUUCGUAUUUGUUGUCUUCAUCUUCAUCACUGUCUGGACUCAUCUAUUCAUCUAUUUAUUGGUUCUGUCCGGCAGACAUCAAGCAAGGCAGAAGCAGGGACCCAGCCUUCUCGUGCGUGGGGGCUUGAGGUGCAGCUGGAAGUGUGCCGGGCACAGUUUCCCCAUCAGCCCUGCGCUGGGCUGGGUUACUCAUCACCAAUUGGCAGAGUGAGAGGAGUACUUGGCUGGUUCUGCUUUGAAAUGCUGGGCAAAGACCUUCUUACCCUUCUUGGUCAGCAGCUCCUCCUCCCUGGCAGAAGAGCUGAGGGAGGGCAGGAAUGAGGGAGAAGGACUUGGACUGGAGCAGCUGAGGCGGCCCUGGGGGAGCACCAGCCCCAUCUUCCAGCACCUAGGAAUCCACUAGUCCAAUCCCCUUCAUUUAAAGGUGAAAAGCGGAAGCCCUGUAUAACAGGAAGAGCCUACCAUGCCUCUUGGAAGCAGUGGCAUUUCAAGGUCCUGCUAAGUGACCAGGCUGCCCAGGCUGGGCCUGAACUUGCAACCCUCCUGCCUCAGCCUCCCAUGGUGCCACCAUGCUCAGCUCAAAGAAUUAUUUUAAGGAUCCAGGAAAUGUAAUUAACUCAAUAAAUAUUUAAUAAGCACCUACAGUGUGCCUGCUAUAGUGUUGGGAUCUGGGAACUCAGCAGAAAACAAAGCAGACAGAAACCUGCCCUCAUGGGGAUUAACAAACAAAUAAGUAAAAUGGGUCAUGGGUACAGAGUAGUAUUCCUUAUUCAAAAUGCUUGGGACUAGAUGUGUUUCAGAGUUAGGAUUUUUUUUUCAGAUUUUGGAACAUUUGCAUAUACAUA